GGUGGGAAGUUCUUGGAGGAAAUGAUGCCGGGGGUCUAUUUGGAAACAGCCUCUCUACCCCAGGGUAGGGGUAAGGUCUUCGUACACACUACCCUCCCCAGACCCNGGGAAGAAUGCCAGGGGUCUAUUUGGAAACAGCCUCUCUACCCCAGGGUAGGGGUAAGGUCUGCGUACAUACUACCCUCCUCAGACCCCACUAAGUGGAAUUAUACUGGGUUGUACUUUUAGAUCUUAAUACACAUCUUAAUAUAUUCAGAUGUGUAUUCAGAUUCAAACGUCUUAAUCUUAAUACUCAUCUUGAUAUUCAGAUUGAGACGUUU
rnacentral:lncRNA from 1 species